GUGGGGAAUCUUGCGCAAUGGGCGAAAGCCUGACGCAGCCAUGCCGCGUGAAUGAUGAAGGUCUUAGGAUUGUAAAAUUCUUUCACCGGGGAAGAUAAUGACGGUACCCGGAGAAGAAGCCCCGGCUAACUUCGUGCCAGCAGCCGCGGUAAUACGAAGGGGGCUAGCGUUGCUCGGAAUUACUGGGCGUAAAGGGCGCGUAGGCGGACAUUUAAGUCAGAGGUGAGAGCCCAGGGCUCAACCUGGGAAUUGCCUUUGAUACUGGAUGUCUUGAGUUCGGGAGAGGUGAGUGGAAUGCCGAGUGUAGAGGUGAAAUUCGUAGAUAUUCGGCGGAACACCAGUGGCGAAGGCGACUCACUGGCCCGAUACUGACGCUGAGGCGCGAAAGCGUGGGGAGCAAACAGGAUUAGAAAACCCGGUAGUCC
rnacentral:rRNA from 1 species